UCUGAUCAGCCAUGCCGCGUGCAGGAAGACGGCCCUAUGGGUUGUAAACUGCUUUUAUAUGGGAGCAAUAAGGUUUACGCGUAGACCGAUGAGAGUACCAUAUGAAUAAGCAUCGGCUAACUCCGUGCCAGCAGCCGCGGUAAU
rnacentral:rRNA from 1 species